rnacentral:rRNA from 1 species
UGCAAGUCGUACGAGAGUUUUUAACUCAAGUGGCGGACGGGUGAGUAACACGUAAGAAUUUACCUUUAGGAGGGGGACAACAACUGGAAACGGUUGCUAAUACCCCAUAUGCUUUCGAGUGAAAUGGAUUUUUCCGCCUAGAGAGAAGCUUGCGGCUGAUUAGCUUGUUGGUGAGGUAAUGGCUUACCAAGGCGACGAUCAGUAUCUGAUUUGAGAGGAUGAUCAGACACACUGGAACUGAGACACGGUCCAGACUCCUACGGGAGGCAGCAGUGGGGAAUUUUCCGCAAUGGGCGAAAGCCUGACGGAGCAAUACCGCGUGAGGGAUGACGGCCUAUGGGUUGUAAACCUCUUUUUUCAGGGAGGAAUCAAUGACGUGUACCUGAAGAAUAAGCAUCGGCUAACUCCGUGCCAGCAGCCGCGGUAAGACGGAGGAUGCAAGUGUUAUCCGGAAUCACUGGGCGUAAAGCGUCUGUAGGUGGUCCAAUAAGUCAACUGUUAAAUCUUGAGGCUCAACCUCAAAAUCGCAGUCGAAACUAUUAGACUAGAGUAUAGUAGGGGUAAAGGGAAUUUCCAGUGGAGCGGUGAAAUGCGUAGAGAUUGGAAAGAACACCGAUGGCGAAGGCACUUUACUGGGCUAUUACUAACACUCAGAGACGAAAGCUAGGGUAGCAAAUGGGAUUAGAUACCCCAGUAGUCCUAGCCGUAAACAAUGGAUACUAGAUGUUGAACAGAUCGACCUGUGCAGUAUCAAAGCUAACGCGUUAAGUAUCCCGCCUGGGAAGUAUGCUCGC